AACGAACGCUGGCGGCAGGCCUAACACAUGCAAGUCGAGCGAGGACUUCGGUUCUAGCGGCGGACGGGUGAGUAACGCGUGGGAAUGUGCCCUUCUCUACGGAAUAGCCCUGGGAAACUGGGAGUAAUACCGUAUACGCCCUUUUGGGGAAAGAUUUAUCGGAGAAGGAUCAGCCCGCGUUGGAUUAGGUAGUUGGUGGGGUAAUGGCCUACCAAGCCGACGAUCCAUAGCUGGUUUGAGAGGAUGAUCAGCCACACUGGGACUGAGACACGGCCCAGACCCCCACGGAGGGAAGCAGGGGGGAUUUUUAAAAAAGGGGGGAACCCUUAACAAACCCUGGCGGGGGGAGGAUAAAGGCCUUGGGGGUUGAAAAGCUCUUUCGGCUGGAAAGAAAAGCGGGAACCCAGAAAAAGAACCCCGCCCAACCCCCGCC
rnacentral:rRNA from 1 species